AAUAUUGCACAAUGGGGGAAACCCUGAUGCAGCAACGCCGCGUGGAGGACGAAGGNUUNNGGAUUNUNAACUCCUGUCAUUUGNNNNNAUAAUGACGGUCCCAAAUGAGGAAGCCACGGCUACCUACGUGCCAGCAGCCGCGGUAACACGUAGGUGGCAAGCGUUGUCCGGAAUUACUGGGCGUAAAGGGCGUGUAGGCGGCCAUUCAAGUCAGCUGUGAAAUUCCAAGGCUUAACCUUGGGCUUGCAGUUGAAACUGAGUGGCUCGAGUGUCGGAGAGGAAAGCGGAAUUCCUAGUGUAGCGGUGAAAUGCGUAGAUAUUAGGAGGAACACCAGUGGCGAAGGCGGCUUUCUGGACGAUAACUGACGCUGAGGCGCGAAAGCGUGGGGAGCAAAC
rnacentral:rRNA from 1 species